CCCCUUCGGGGGUACUCGAGUGGCGAACGGGUGAGUAACACGUGGGUAAUCUGCCCUGCACUUCGGGAUAAGCCUGGGAAACUGGGUCUAAUACCGGAUAGGACCUCGAGGCGCAUGCCUUGUGGUGGAAAGCUUUUGCGGUGUGGGAUGGGCCCGCGGCCUAUCAGCUUGUUGGUGGGGUGACGGCCUACCAAGGCGACGACGGGUAGCCGGCCUGAGAGGGUGUCCGGCCACACUGGGACUGAGAUACGGCCCAGACUCCUACGGGAGGCAGCAGUGGGGAAUAUUGCACAAUGGGCGCAAGCCUGAUGCAGCGACGCCGCGUGGGGGAUGACGGCCUUCGGGUUGUAAACCUCUUUCAGCAGGGACGAAGCGCAAGUGACGGUACCUGCAGAAGAAGCACCGGCCAACUACGUGCCAGCAGCCGCGGUAAUACGUAGGGUGCGAGCGUUGUCCGGAAUUACUGGGCGUAAAGAGCUCGUAGGUGGUUUGUCGCGUUGUUCGUGAAAUCUCACGGCUUAACUGUGAGCGUGCGGGCGAUACGGGCAGACUGGAGUACUGCAGGGGAGACUGGAAUUCCUGGUGUAGCGGUGGAAUGCGCAGAUAUCAGGAGGAACACCGGUGGCGAAGGCGGGUCUCUGGGCAGUAACUGACGCUGAGGAGCGAAAGCGUGGGGAGCGAACAGGAUUAGAUACCCUGGUAGUCCACGCCGUAAACGGUGGGUACUAGGUGUGGGUUUCCUUCCUUGGGAUCCGUGCCGUAGCUAACGCAUUAAGUACCCCGCCUGGGGAGUACGGCCGCAAGGCUAAAACUCAAAGGAAUUGACGGGGGCCCGCACAAGCGGCGGAGCAUGUGGAUUAAUUCGAUGCAACGCGAAGAACCUUACCUGGGUUUGACAUGCACAGGACGCCGGCAGAGAUGUCGGUUCCCUUGUGGCCUGUGUGCAGGUGGUGCAUGGCUGUCGUCAGCUCGUGUCGUGAGAUGUUGGGUUAAGUCCCGCAACGAGCGCAACCCUUGUCUCAUGUUGCCAGCGCGUAAUGGCGGGGACUCGUGAGAGACUGCCGGGGUCAACUCGGAGGAAGGUGGGGAUGACGUCAAGUCAUCAUGCCCCUUAUGUCCAGGGCUUCACACAUGCUACAAUGGCCGGUACAAAGGGCUGCGAUGCCGCAAGGUUAAGCGAAUCCUUUUAAAGCCGGUCUCAGUUCGGAUCGGGGUCUGCAACUCGACCCCGUGAAGUCGGAGUCGCUAGUAAUCGCAGAUCAGCAACGCUGCGGUGAAUACGUUCCCGGGCCUUGUACACACCGCCCGUCACGUCAUGAAAGUCGGUAACACCCGAAGCCAGUGGCCUAACCCUUUGGGAGGGAGCUGUCGAAGGUGGGAUCGGCGAUUGGGACGAAGUCGUAACAAGGUAGCCG
rnacentral:rRNA from 1 species